GGCGGCAUAGCUCAGCUGGCUAGAGUACUCGGUUCAUACCCGAUUGGUCACUGGUUCGAAUCCAGUUGCCGCUACCA
rnacentral:tRNA from 2 species